AGCCAUACAACUCAGCAGGAGUUGGCAAACCUUUCCUGUAAAGGGUCAGAUAGUGAGUAUUUGAAAAUAUUUUCAACUACUCAACUCUGCCACGGCAGCACAAAAGCGGCCAUAGACAAAAGGCACACAAGCGGGCGGGGCUGUGUUCUAAUAAAACUUUAUUUAUGGACAUUAAAAUGCCACAUUUUCGCAUGUCACAAAAUAUUCUUCUUUUGAAGUUUUCAAUCGUUGAAAAUGUAAAAAGCAUUUUUCCCUCACAGACCGUACAAAAGCAGGCAUGGAGGCAAUACUGUGGCCUCUGGGCCAUCGUUCGUACACACCUUCCCCAAAAGGCUCAGAUAGGCGAGAGAGCAGGGAGGCUCCAGAGUUGGCUGGAGUCUAGUUGGCUGAGUCCAGUCACUCAGGUUGGCUGCAGCCCAGGAGUCCCAGGAGCGAGGAGCAGCAGGGCUGGGCCAAGAGUGGAGAGGGCUGAGGACAAACCCAUAGGGCCUCGAAGGCCCCAGGAAGAGAUGUUGUCACAGCUGACUCAGCCCCGUGCUCAGACUCCAGUGUUACCAGGUCCUGAAUGUGAGACGCAGGCGUCUGCUUCUCCGAGCUUCAGUUACUUCAGCUGUAAAAUGGGACACUGGCAUUGACCUUGAAGGGCUCAGCACUGGGUUCCCAAGGCCCUUUUUAAGAUCCAAUUUCCCUGGUGCUUUGAGGAGGGUGGGGGACAUCAGAAGACCCUCUUGCUGGGAACAUCCACUUCCCGAUGCCUCCUCCUUUGACGUCGUGAGCCACAGGCCACCAAGCAGGUUCUGCGGCAGCAACUCAGAAGAGCCCUCUGGAGUAGGAGAGCCUGGAUCCCGGUGCCCAAGGUGGGCACAGCCUGCAAGCAGCUCUGCUUGGAGAAGUCCCGCUUCCUAGGGCUCAUUCCGACUGUGCACAUGACACUUUCGGGAGUAGGUCAAGAGCCCCAGGCGUCAUUUGAACAGGAAGUUCUCGGGUCACAUCAAAUGUUCCAUGUUGCCAACCCUCCAUGUAACCCCUUUUCAGGAAGUCAUCGGUCUCACUGGCAGGGUGGGGGAGGGCCUGUCAUGAGUCCCGUCUCCAGUGUCCCUCUGUUCAGUGCAUUUGGCGUAACCCCCAGCUGUAUGCACUGGGCCCCCAGGGCUGCCUCCCCCUACGUCCCCCACAGCAGCCCAGCAUGGGGAGAAAACAUCCUAAAAUCACCAGGGGCUCCAGGGAAAAGCCGAGAGGGGGCACGUGGCUGGUAUGAGAGCCAGGAAUGCCCAUGUGUUCAGGAUGGCGGAGGCAAUGAGGAAAGAAUGGCCCGAUCUUCUCUCUGUUCCCUGCCUGUCAGUGUCAUUCCCACUGGGUUCUAAAUCCCCCUAGCAUGUUCACAGGUAGCUCGCUGCACCCAGAGACCCCACCAGGCAGAUAAACUUCUUUGUCCCACAGACAGAAUUCCUCGACCUAGUCUUGCCUUCUUCCCCCUGCUGUCGUCCUCAUCCCACUUCCAGCUGUGCCUGAAGAGAAUCUGAGGGUCAGACUGGAGGGCGGGGAAGGAGAGGCCGAGCUGCCCCAUUCACAGCGUUCAGGACUGUCUCUGCCCCAGGUUCCCUGACUCCUGGAAGUUUCUGGAGUCCUAGACAGGUCCUCUUGGCACUUUAGGAACCAGCUCAGGGCCUGCCUCUUCCUGGAAGCCCUUCCUGUGCGUGCUGAUGGUCUUGGAAUCAAAGCGCAGCUGCUGAGGAAGUAACUGGGAAAAGCAAAGGCCAGAACUGCAGGGUUGAGGAGGAGGAGACAGUGAGGAGAAGCCCACAGUUCAUCUCCGGGGCUCCUCCAGGUGGCUGGCGGAGCGGCUGAGUGGCCCGAGGACUUCCUUUCCCAGGAGGCUGUGCCACAGACUUGGAGCUGUGGGGUGGGGUGGCGGGUAAGAGGGCAGGCUCUCUCCUGGGCAGCACAAAGGAAGCGUCCAGGGGGCCCAAGACAGCUGUCUCACUGUGCGGUCUGAGCACCCCCAGCCCGGGCAUGUGAGCAGAGCUGACUAACUCUUGCAGGAAGUGGCCUCAAGCUGGGAGGGAAUGGUUGGAAGGCCGACUGGGAAGCGGGGCUCAGAGGGUGCUCCCCAGCCUGGCCCCUGACUCAUGAGAGCACACUGUGCCCUUUGAGGGUGGCCUGCUUUAGCCAUCUCUGCGGGUGCUGCAGGGGAACAGGGAAAUGAGGAACCAGCAUCUGCCCACAGCCUCCCUUCUCCCACAGAGGCAGGCUCCAGGCCUCAGCUCCCACCCUUCCACCAACUCACCUCCCCGCCUCACCUGGUUUUCCUAUUUUUUUUGUUCUCCAGGCUUUUCCCAUGGGAAAAUCCCACCCACCAUUCCAGGCCAGCCAGAAAGCCUCUCCCUGACACCUGACCAAGUGUUCCCUGCUGGCUCACAGGUAGCCAAGCCCCAGAGGUCUGAUAUGUGACUUCCCGGCAGGAUGCUGUGAUCUCCAAGGGCAGGGUCCCUGGAGGGAGCCGGGGCUGUACAAUGUUGGCCCUCAGCAGGGUCUCCAGGCAGGACUGCUUCCUCAGGCCAGUCCAUGGUUCCUCCACCCUGGCUCCCACUCCCCAUCCCCCCUGGCCUCAGGGAGCUGACAAGGCCAGAGGCCCCUGAAUUCCUGCCCGAGGGCUCACCCCUGCCCUCGGUUUCACAGACCACCUUUGUGUAGGUCACUGUUGCUGAGCUCUUUCUAGCCCAGCACAAACCUGGGGCCUGGUCUUAGUGACUGACCCACCGGAGAGCUCCCAGUAACUCCCAGUAACUUCUCUGCCAGUCAUCGGCUGCUGCUCCUGUCCCUUUGAGGAACUAACGACUGUUCUGUGAGUCAGUAACUAGGGGCAGAGGGAGGGGUGACAGACUCAUUGCAGAUAUCAGGUGAUCACUGCAGAUAUCAUGUGAUCGCUGCGGCCUUGGAGCCAGAGGCGUCCCUGUUUCUGCUUCCCCAAGAGGACAUUCUCCUCCCAUGGGGAAGGCCCCCACUCACUAUACAUUUGCGGCAUCUAACCUAGAUGGGCUCGAGAAAGCCACUCCGCACAGCAGAAAGAGCACUGGCUGGGAGCAAGUGAGUCUGGGCUCCCCACGGCUGGCAAGAGACUCCCCUUCUCUGAACCUCAACUUCAAGGGGGUGGCCCUCAGAAACCCUAAGAAUGCUCACAGUUUUGUGACCUCUUGAAGUCCAUGUACAUGAAGCAGCUGCGGGCUCAGCCACAUCCUGAAGGAUCCCAUGAGGAUGAGUCCUCGUUAGCAUCUGUCUGCCCUGGCUCCUAGAAGAACCUGUGAUGCUGUGAUGAAGCUUUGAAGUCAGGCAGUCCUGGGUUCAAGUACCGGCUCUGCCUCUUACCAGUACAUUUUGCACCUUUCUGAACUUGAUUUCCAGAUGAGGAGAUCUGAGGCCCCAGGAGGGAAGGAAAGCACCCAAGAUACCAGGCGGGACCCUGGGCCUGCUGGCCUGCAGCUCUGCACUCCUUCUCCAGAGGGCUUGCCCUAGAAGGAGCCAGGGUGCUGGGAAGGCUGUUCCACUUUCAAGGGCUGAAAUGAAGGUGGUUGUGUCUCACAGCCUGGCUGGCAAGGCUAGUUCCUCCACCCUGGAGCAUCUGUAGAUACACCACAGACACAGUGAGGGGAGCAGACAGGCUGGGACCACCUGGCCCUGGAGGGAAGCCCUGGGAAGGCUGGCUAGGCUGCCUCCUGGGCUGCCUCCUGGGGCUGCAGCCGG
rnacentral:lncRNA from 1 species